CCCACGGCUGACGCUGUGGGCUACUCUGUGACGCCGCUACGCGGCU
rnacentral:ncRNA from 2 species